UCUCUCUCUCUCUCUCUCUGACCAAUAGCGUGGCUUCAUAUAUAUGACGUCAAAUCAGCUGGGUGGAGGAGCUGUGAAGUGGGAGCCGGGAAUUGAGGCGAGCACGCGGGACGGUUUCUUGGGGACAGUGCCGGUGGGGGAGCUACGAAGAGGGAGUCGGAAAUCGAGGCGAGCGCGCGGGACGGUUUCUUUGUGAGAGUGGUGUGUAAAAUACUUUGCUGGUUACAUGAGCUUUGGCGUACCGUGUUUGACGUCGCUUACCUUGGAAAACCUACUUUCCCGAUCUUCUCAAAAGGGGAAGCGAAAUUUUCGGUCUGACACUCCAGCUGAGAGGGGACGCUGCAAAGACAACUACCAGUGUCACCCAAGUUCUGCCUCGACAACAGUGGACAGUCUCCAUCCAAACUGAUUUUUGGUUUACAUAUUCUUA